rnacentral:rRNA from 1 species
CAGCCGCCGCGGUAAUACGAAGGGGGCUAGCGUUGCUCGGAAUUACUGGGCGUAAAGGGAGCGUAGGCGGACAUUUAAGUCAGGGGUGAGAUCCCAGAGCUCAACUCUGGAACUGCCUUUGAUACUGGGUGUCUUGAGUGUGAUAGAGGUAUGUGGAACUCCGAGUGUAGAGGUGAAAUUCGUAGAUAUUCGGAAGAACACCAGUGGCGAAGGCGACAUACUGGAUCAUUACUGACGCUGAGGCUCGAAAGCGUGGGGAGCAAACAGGAUUAGAUACCCGCGUAGUCCCUGUCUCUUAUAC